CAUCUCCUUAAUCGGAGAGUUCCCUUCGGGGACAUUGGUGACAGGUGGUGCAUGGUUGUCGUCAGCUCGUGUCGUGAGAUGUUGGGUUAAGUCCCGCAACGAGCGCAACCCUUGUCUUUAGUUGCCAUCAUUAAGUUGGGCACUCUAGAGAGACUGCCAGGGAUAACCUGGAGGAAGGUGGGGAUGACGUCAAAUCAUCAUGCCCCUUAUGCUUAGGGCUACACACGUGCUACAAUGGGUAGUACAGAGGGUUGCCAAGCCGUAAGGUGGAGCUAAUCCCUUAAAGCUACUCUCAGUUCGGAUUGUAGGCUGAAACUCGCCUACAUGAAGCUGGAGUUACUAGUAAUCGCAGAUCAGAAUGCUGCGGUGAAUGCGUUCCCGGGUCUUGUACACACCGCCCGUCACACCACGGGAGUUGGAGACGCCCGAAGCCGAUUAUCUAACCUUUUGGAAGAAGUCGUCGAAGGUGGAAUCAAUAACGGGGGUGAAGUCGUAACAAGGUAGCCGUAUCGGAAGGUGCGGCUGGAUCACCUCCUUUCUAAGGA
rnacentral:rRNA from 1 species